AGCGAACGCUGGCGGCAGGCCUAACACAUGCAAGUCGAACGAAGUCUUCGGACUGAGUGGCGGACGGGUGAGUAACACGUGGGAACGUGCCUUUAGGUUCGGAAUAACGCAGGGAAACUUGUGCUAAUACCGAAUGUGCCCUACGGGGGAAAGAUUUAUCACCUUUAGAGCGGCCCGCGUCUGAUUAGCUAGUUGGUGAGGUAAAGGCUCACCAAGGCUACGAUCAGUAGCUGGUCUGAGAGGAUGACCAGCCACAUUGGGACUGAGACACGGCCCAAACUCCUACGGGAGGCAGCAGUGGGGAAUCUUGCGCAAUGGGCGAAAGCCUGACGCAGCCAUGCCGCGUGGAUGAUGUAGGUCUUAGGAUUGUAAAAUCCUUUCACCGGUGAAGAUAAUGACUGUAGCCGGAGAAGAAGCCCCGGCUAACUUCGUGCCAGCAGCCGCCGUAAUAC
rnacentral:rRNA from 1 species